rnacentral:piRNA from 1 species
UCGUGUCCCGCGCUCCUGAACGCCAUCAGCC